UGUGAACGUUACCAAACUGUUGCCUCGGCGGGGUCACGCCCCGGGUGCGUCGCAGCCCCGGAACCAGGCGCCCGCCGGAGGAACCAACCAAACUCUUUCUGUAGUCCCCUCGCGGACGUAUUUCUUACAGCUCUGAGCAAAAAUUCAAAAUGAAUCAAAACUUUCAACAACGGAUCUCUUGGUUCUGGCAUCGAUGAAGAACGCAGCGAAAUGCGAUAAGUAAUGUGAAUUGCAGAAUUCAGUGAAUCAUCGAAUCUUUGAACGCACAUUGCGCCCGCCAGUAUUCUGGCGGGCAUGCCUGUCCGAGCGUCAUUUCAACCCUCGAACCCCUCCGGGGGAUCGGCGUUGGGGAUCGGGACCCCUCACACGGGUGCCGGCCCCGAAAUACAGUGGCGGUCUCGCCGCAGCCUCUCCUGCGCAGUAGUUUGCACAACUCGCACCGGGAGCGCGGCGCGUCCACGUCCGUAAAACACCCAACUUUCUGAAAUGUUGACCUCGGAUCAGGUAGGAAUACCCGCUGAACUUAAGCAUAUCAUA
rnacentral:rRNA from 1 species